UAAUCCUCCUCAUGUGUAAGGUGUAUAAGAAUGUGUGUUGUGUCAAUCAAUCCCACCUCGAAACAACCAUGGAACCCAAACUUAGAAAAAAUCUCACGUACCUUCCUCAUGGUUGGCUUGCGAUGUGGAAAUUUCCCCACAAGUGUAUACUUGUAAGGAUCAGCGAGUGUAGCCUCCUCGGACUCAGUCAAAACUAUUGCCGGCUCACCCAUAUGUAUAAAGGGUUCUUUAGCAGCAAACCCAGCAGUGGAAGAGUCAUCUAUACCCUGUAUAACCGAUGCAAACGACUUUCGUGAACUCCGUUCAGCUUGAGACAGGCCCGGACGGCCAGAAACUGCAGUAGCAUAG
rnacentral:lncRNA from 1 species